AACACGACACGACACCACCCAAAAGACACAACACGACUUCUCUCAAGCUGCCGUUUUGACUGUUUUCAGGAGUGAGAGAAUAACCUCCUGCUACAGAAAAUAUAACUCAAGAUUCCUAAAUUUCUGAAGGGAGCUGAUCACAGAGAUACAGGAAAGACAGUAUUGGAUGCCUGAUUGCAGUUCAACUCCAAACUCAGUUGGACCAGCUGAUCAGUGUCUUCAGUAUUACCACAAGCUACUGGGCAGAUGUGUGGACAGCUAUGAGCCAAACUUGGGACGUUUGGUUUUUAGCAGGUGUGACCGUCUGGGCAGCAGAAACAAGACAACUAAUCAUAUUUAGAUACAAUCAAAUGUUCAAACCAUCUCUGAGUGAAUGACAUCAAGGAAACAGGAUCAAAAGAUCAUUCAUUAUAGACCGUUUCAUAGUUGGUUAUAUUUUUAGGUCCUCCUGAUCAUUCUGUUCUCCUGGUUGUGAGGAUGUGCAGAGGCUGUAUUUGUCAGUGUUAAAAGACUUGUGCAGCUGUAUCCAGACAUACAAGCAGCCGACAAAGAGUUCUGGAGCAGGACAGACAGGGCAGCACGGUGGCGCAGAGGGUAGCACGUUUGCCUCACAGCAAGAAGGUUGCUGCUUCAAGCUUCGGCUGGAUUGGUGUACGCUGAUGGUCUGCUGAGAAUUCUGCUGAGUUGAAGGGAUCCUCCUGUCAGACAACCUCUCCAAAGUACAAUAGGACUAGGUUCCCACUACAAGGAUUAGAUUUGGCUACUGCAGUCCCGGUUUGGGCCAGCCUCACUUGUGAAGACUAAAGAUGAAGACAACAUACAAGAACAAUUUCGAGGAUGGCGACACACUUUUUAUUCCACCUAUAUAUCCCCUUUUAUGUGUAAGCAACAUUCCACAAGAUAAAACAAAAGUAAAUGACAGGUUAUUUCUUUUAAUUUUGUCUGUUUUCUUGGAACAUUGUACACAAUUUACAACCAGUUUUAUUUAUAUAAAUAAAGGUCAGAGCAAGAAAAUGUUAUGUUUUCUUCUGGAGAAAGUCUUAUUUCUUUUAUUUCGGCUAGAAUAAAAA